rnacentral:lncRNA from 1 species
UGUUUAAUCUGUUUAAAUUCAUUUAACAUUAAAAACCCAUUUGUUUAACUUAUCUUAACCUAUUUAAUAAGCAGGUUGUGGGGUGGGUUAGGUUACUUGUUUAACUAACAGGUCAGAUUUAGAUAUAAAUUUUUGAUCUAUUUAAUAAACAAGUCACGUUUAGAUUUGUUGAGAAAUCUGUAUAUUGUGUAUAUUGUUGGUUGAUUACAGAUAAUAUAAUAUAUAGAUGAGAGAUUAACCAUUCUAAUGGUUCAAAUCCCCAUAUUUUAGGAAAUAAAUCAAAAGAAAUGUUACAAGAUUACCCAAGGAAAGAAUCAGAAAUUUAAAAUUCAAAGAGAUAUUCUGGGUGAGAAUAUUAGAGAUAUUCAGGAAGAGAAUAUCGGCUUUAUCCAACAUGAUAAAGAGAUUCUGAAAAAGAAUAUUGGAGAUAUUCAAAGAGAGAAUAUUGGCUCUAUCCAACACCCUUCUUCAAGCUGGAGAGUGG